GCCGGGUGCGGUGGCGGGCGCCUGUAAUCCCAGCUACUCAGGAGGUUGAGGCAGGAGAAUCGCUUGAGCCCAGGAAGCGAAGGCUGCAGUGAGCCGAGAUAGUGCUACUACAGUCCAGCCUGGGCAACAGAGUGAGAUUCCGUCUCAA
rnacentral:SRP_RNA from 1 species